CUUUUCAGUGACCUGAACUCUGUCCACCCUGCCACUUACAGGCUGAGUGACUAUAGGUAGCCCCCUCCUAUUAGGAGGUAAUAAUAAUGACAUCACAAUCACAAGUGAUCCAGCACCAGUCUUCAGGACUUCUGCAGCCUCCUGAAUUGGCAAAUACCUUAGAAGGUAUCAUGCCUCAUGUCUGUAAUCCCAGCACUUUGGGAGGCUGAGGCAGGUGGAUCACCUGAGGUCGGGAGUUCGAGACCAGCCUGACCAACGUGGAGAAGCCCCUUCUCUACUAAAAAUACAAAAUUAGCCCGGUAUAGUGGUGCAUUCCUGUAAUCCCAGCUACUCCGGAGGUUGAGGCAGGAGAAUCGCUUGAACCCGGGAGGCAGAGGUUGUGGUGAGCCAAGAUCGCAUCAUUGCACUCCUACAGCAAAACUCCGUCUCAAAAAAAAAAAAAAAUCAAAAUGUAGAGCUGUAAAUCUUAGGCCAUCACCUCCUGAUUCUAGGGCUAUAAACCUGUUGUUUUCAAAGCUAUUUAAGGGCCCUGCUCACACAGGAAUUCAUGGCAGAAUGGAGCUGGGAGGCAGAUGGAGCGAUGGAGAUCAUAUGCUCAGGAUCCCUCUCCCCCUCUCAUGACAAAGGCUUUGCCCCUGCUUCUGGCUGGAGGGACCUGCCCUCUCCUUGCUUGGGACAGUUGUUAACCAACACAUCUUAAUGACAGAGGAGAGAAGAAUCAAGACCUGGGGAUGGAGCUGGGAGAGGCCAGCCUCGAACAAAGAAUAUCUUGAAAGCCUCUUUUUAUCAUUAAAGUGUGUAUGAAUGUUACCUUUUACCUCAUCAUACACUUGUGCUUGUUCACUGUGUUUUAAAUGUCCUCAGAUCUUCAAGUAUAAUGUCUUCGUUCUACCUGCGGGUUUAACUUUCCUCCGGCACAGCGAUGUGGACCCCUAGACAGCCACACAGCACAGCUGAGAAGGAAUUCUCAUGGCUGGCAGCAAUUCUC
rnacentral:lncRNA from 1 species